rnacentral:lncRNA from 1 species
CGUUGGCGGAAGCGCAGGGACUCUUCUUUAUGGAGACGUCAGCUCUGGACUCAUCAAACGUGGCGGCUGCGUUUGAGACUGUUGUGAAGGAGAUAUACAACAUACUGAGCAGGAAAGUGAUGACCUCACAGGAGCUGAACAAGCAAGAUCCUGCCUCGCUUAGCAAUGGCAAGAAAGUUGUGAUUCCAUCAGAGGGGGAGUCCAAGACAGGUGGAGGUGGGUGUUGUUCUAGGUGAUGAUAGGAACUGAUAUUGUAGAAAGCUUAAAAAAGGAAGAUUAAUUUUCUCAUCUGUUUGAUUGUGUUUCUUUGUCCAUGGUAACUGCCAUGAAUGUUGAAAAUUUGAGCUGUGUCUUGUGGUGUGGAAGUGUUUGUGUAGCAAGAAAUCUGUAAAUUUUCCACUUCAGAAGCUUUAUGUAAACUCACACUCCUAUCUAUAAAGUCUUUCCACUUUCUUGUUGUUUAACUUGUGUAAUGAUAAUAUGAUGAACUGAUGAUGAUGAUGAUGAUGGUUGUUAGUCUUCUGUUAUUGUGACACUCAUAACAUAACAAGGAUUGAAACUUUACUAUAUAAAAAUCUUCUUUUAUAUACUAAAUGAAUUUAAAAAUAGUAAGAUGCAUGAGUAUUGUUAUUCUUCCAAUGAAGCAUUUGUCAUAGGGAAGAGGAUCAAAUCCAGCUGUAGACUUAGAUUCAUAAAAAAAAUUCAAUGAGAUUGUUCUAAUAGGUGAUUCUGCAGUCGGGAAAUCGAACUUGCUCGCAAGAUUUGCUAGGGAUGAGUUCUAUCCCAACUCAAAGUCGACCAUUGGAGUGGAGUUUCAGACGCAGAAGAUUGUUAUCAACGGAAAGGAGAUCAAAGCUCAGAUAUGGGACACGGCAGGUCAAGAACGUUUCAGAGCAGUCACUUCUGCGUAUUACAGAGGUGCAGUUGGAGCUCUUCUUGUUUACGACAUCAGCAGAGUGCAGACUUUUCAAAGCAUUGGUAGAUGGCUCAACGAGCUCCACAGUAAGAAACAUCACAUUCACACACACAAGAAAACUCCAUUUUCUUUAUUAUCUUUUACUAAAUGAUGAGAACUGUUGUUGCAGCGCACUCUGAUAUGAACGUUGUGACGAUCCUGGUGGGGAACAAGUCGGAUCUGAAGGACAUAAGAGAAGUGCCAACAUCAGAAGGGAAGGCGUUGGCGGAAGCGCAGGGACUCUUCUUUAUGGAGACGUCAGCUCUGGACUCAUCAAACGUGGCGGCUGCGUUUGAGACUGUUGUGAAGGAGAUAUACAACAUACUGAGCAGGAAAGUGAUGACCUCACAGGAGCUGAACAAGCAAGAUCCUGCCUCGCUUAGCAAUGGCAAGAAAGUUGUGAUUCCAUCAGAGGGGGAGUCCAAGACAGGUGGAGGUGGGUGUUGUUCUAGGUGAUGAUAGGAACUGA